rnacentral:miRNA from 1 species
UACCGAUGUGCUCUCAGAUCU